GCUCACCUGGAAUACUCAUUUAGACAAAGUUAAGAACAAGUGUAAAAAGGUCAUCAAUAUACUUUGUUGUCUGUCAGGACAAGAGUGGGGAGCAAGCAGAGCAGCUCUACAAAAUAUAUACUGGGCACUCAUGAGAUCCGUUUUUGACUAUGGAUGUGUAGCGUACAUGUCAGCAGCAGAAUCAAACCUUAAGAAGUUAGAUGUAUUACAGGCUCAGGCCUUGAGAAUUUGCAGUGGAUCAGUCAGAACAUCUCCUCUGUCAGCAAUGCAGGUGGAAAUGGGAGAAAUGCCGUUAAGAAUCAGGCGAGUAAAGUUAAUGUUGGCAUACUGGGUUAAUCUCCAGGGGCAAUGUGAUUCUCAAUGACAUAUUCCUUAUAUUGUACAGGAUGGAGCUAAAAGGUUUAUCCACAUGCUUCCUUUGGGUUCCUGCUCAUGUUGGUGUGGAGGGAAAUGAGCAGGUGGAUAUUCUGGCCAAAGGAACACUCAAAAUCAAACAUGUAGACCUAAAAACCCCAUUAACUAAAGAUGAAGCUAAGACAUUUAUCAGGACCUAUGCACAGUCAGUUUGGCAGGAGCAUUGUGACAAUAGUGAAACUGGAAGGUAUAAUGUACAGAGACCGGUUGGUGCCGGAAGGACGGUGGGCUGGAAACAUAGGGAAGAAAAUAUAAUCACUCGUCUGAGAAUAGGACAUACAGGUCUCAACCUUUCGUUAUAUAAAAUAGGUAAGCACCCAACUGGGAAAUGUAUAUAUUGUAACCAACUAGAAACGGUUGAACAUGUUUUCCUUCAGUGUAGGAGACACACUAUCAAGAGGGAAUGCCUCUUUCAGUCAUUACGGAAGGCAAAACAUCAUGAUAUCUCAUUGACAGGUCUCUUGGGGAAAACAGCAGGCCAGAUAUAUUGUCAUAUAAUUAAGUUUCUUAAAGAAAUUGAGUUAGAAAAAAGAAUUUCAUUUAUGUUUGUUUUUUGUUUGUUUUUGUUUUGUUUUGUUUAUUUCAUUUAUUUCCUGCUUAAUCUCUCGUUCCACACUCCAGUCCAGCUUGUGGCGGUAAUGCACUGUUAAACUGGUUUGCCAACCGCCAUUAAACCCUAAAGAAGAAGAAGAAGAAAAACCUCAUCCUGUCACACCUGUAAGAAAGGAUGUAACGGUGAAAAGCAAAUGCAGCCAAGAGCAGCCAGCUAACGCUACAUUAGCUCGGAUCUGCUGCUGUUUGCUUCAUAACGACUCUUCAGCUCAUCAGUCAUGGACAGAACUGUGCUGCUGGUCCUGUUGUGUCUGCAGGUUUUCCUGCUCAUCACAUCCUUCACUACGACACUACUGAUUGACUGAUUGCAAGGAGCUUUCCUGUUAUAAAAAGUAUGUUACAGAAUGAACUGACACCAAGUCCACUAAAGCCUCAUUCCAGGUAAGAGCUUCUCUCCCAUGUUAUCACAAAUACUCCCAGUCAUAUUAAUACUCACAUUCCUCGAGGCACAGGCCGAGGAGGUGGAGUUGCAGCUAUCUUCGACUCUAGCCUACUAAUCAGCUCUAAACCUAAACUAAACUAUAACUCAUUUG